rnacentral:misc_RNA from 1 species
UUUUUCCCACCCUUUAACGUUCCACACCAAAAUCUGAGAAUCUGCUCCAGAAGAAACAAGCAAAUUCAGGGCUUUAGAAAAGGCAAGGCUAGAUACUCUCUUGGAAUGACCCUCAAGCUUACUGAUAACCUUAGCUAGACGAACAUUAUAUAUUAAAAUUGUGGAGUCGUCCCUCCCUAUAGCAACUAUGUUGUUAUCUUGAGGGAGAAAAGCAAGACUAGUUGUUGCAGGUGGUGCAGGCCUGAUACACAGCAUUGUCUUGAAUGUCACCAUGUUGAACAGGGAUAUCUUCCCUCCUGAUGAUGACAUGAGAUAUGAAUCAUUCUUGGACAAAGCAAAACANUCUCCAUACUUUGUGUCUGUAAGGUCAUUUGUCAUCAGCCUUGGGCCACUCUUUGGUUGCCAUUGUUGAGGGAGAACUUCUGUAGUUGCCUUGCCACUCAUAUUAAGGUCAUUAAGUUGCCAUUUCCAAAAUAGAUGAAUACCAUUUGAUGCCAAUGCCAAAAUGGCAUUACCUGCAUUGUUGUAAGCCAAUUUUGAUAUCUUGUUAGCAUUUACAUAUGAAGGAAGCCGCACGGUCUGGC